UUUUAAGACAUGCAAAUCGUUGUUCCUAAAAAUUUUAUAUUAAAUAUAAAAUAAUAAGAAUAAGGUGUAAAGGUGAGUAAUAUAAAUUAGAUACCUUAUAGACUCCUUAAUUAGGAGAUAAAAAUUUAUUUCUCUAUCUCCCCUUCUCCACUCCACAAAGUGGUGAGUGGAAGGGGCUUAAGUAAACAAUUUACUUAGUAGAGAUACUUAAUAUAUAUAACUUAAUUUAAGUUAUAUAAAUAAGGAAAGUAAAGAUAAAUUAGCUAUUUAUUAUAAAAAGGAAAUUUUCUACUAUAAGAUUCGAUUUAUUUUGUUUAAAGGUAGUUGGAAGGGUAAAAGCCUCCCAAGCCGAUGAUCAAAAGCCAUGUUUGAUAGAGCAGAUGGCCACAUUGGGUAUGAAAAGCCCCAAGUAGAAUUAUCUACCAGCAGUCAAGAAUAUUAGUCAAUGCUCGCAAGAGUGAACUAGCUAACUGAAAUCACAUGAUCCAUUACGUAUGGUGAUUGUUAUAACGUAAGGGAAAAAAAUGAUAUUACCUUACUAUUAGUGUUGUCCAAAACUGGUGCCAGAAGACUCGGUAAGGCCAGAGACGCAAACGUUAGUCGUCCUAAUCAGGCGUAAAGGGUAAGUAGGCUGCUUUAAAAGUUAGUAAAUAUUUUAAUAGCUCUAUUUAAAUGAAUAAUAUCAUUAAAAUAGUAAAAUAUACAAUGAAUUAAAGCUAGGAUCAAAUUGAGGAUAAUUUAAAUAAUACUUAGUGUAGGGUUUAAAUCUGGUGAUACUAAGGGGAGUACUAACGGUGAAAGCUUUUUAUCUAGAAAUGAUUGACGCUGAGGAACGAAGGUGAGAAUAGGAAAUAGGAUUAGAUACCCAGAUACCUCUCACAGUCAACGAUGAAUGGUGGUUGUUAGUUAGUUUUAUUUAACUGAUAACGAUGUUAACACGAUAACCAUUCCGCCUUGCGAGUACGGUUGCAAAACUGAAACCAAAAAAAUUAGUCGGUCUCGAAGCAAACGAAGUGAAGCAUGUUAUUUAAUACGAUAAUACGCGUAAAAUCUUACCAGUCCUUGUAUAUCCAAUCUUUCUAAUUUAAAUUAGAGAUAUUGAGUAGUUUCUUAACAAAAUAAGAAAUUCGUUUA
rnacentral:rRNA from 1 species